rnacentral:rRNA from 1 species
UGCAUAUCAAUAAGCGGAGGAAAAGAAACCAACAGGGAUUGCCUUAGUAGCGGCGAGUGAAGCGGCAAAAGCUCAAAUUUGAAAUCUGGCUCUUUCAGAGUCCGAGUUGUAAUUUGAAGAAGGUAUCUUUGGGUCUGGCUCUUGUCUAUGUUUCUUGGAACAGAACGUCACAGAGGGUGAGAAUCCCGUGCGAUGAGAUGAUCCAGGCCUAUGUAAAGUUCCUUCGAAGAGUCGAGUUGUUUGGGAAUGCAGCUCUAAGUGGGUGGUAAAUUCCAUCUAAAGCUAAAUAUUGGCGAGAGACCGAUAGCGAACAAGUACAGUGAUGGAAAGAUGAAAAGAACUUUGAAAAGAGAGUGAAAAAGUACGUGAAAUUGUUGAAAGGGAAGGGCUUGAGAUCAGACUUGGUAUUUUGUAUGUUACUUCUUCGGGGGUGGCCUCUACAGUUUAUCGGGCCAGCAUCAGUUUGGGCGGUAGGAGAAUUGCGUUGGAAUGUGGCACGGCUUCGGUUGUGUGUUAUAGCCUUCGUCGAUACUGCCAGCCUAGACUGAGGACUGCGGUUUAUACCUAGGAUGUUGGCAUAAUGAUCUUAAGUCGCCCGUCUUGAAACACGGAC